rnacentral:rRNA from 1 species
AUUGAACGCUGGCGGCAGGCCUAACACAUGCAAGUCGAACGAGUGGCGGACGGGUGAGUAAUGUCUGGGAAACUGCCUGUUGGAGGGGGAUAACUACUGGAAACGGUAGCUAAUACCGCAUACCAUCAGAUGUGCCCAGAUGGGAUUAGCUUGUUGGUGGGGUAACGGCUCACAAAGGCGACGAUCACUACCUGGUCCGAGAGGAUGACCAGCAACACUGGAACUGAGACACGGUCAAGAUACCUACGGGGGUCAAGAUUGGGGAGUAUUGAACAAUGGGGGCAAGCCUGAUGCAGCCAUGCCGCGUAGAUGAAGAAGGCCUUCGGGUUGUAAAGUACUUUCAGCGGGGAGACGUUACCAGCAGAAGAAGCUCCGGCUAACUCCGUGCCAGCAGCCGCGGUAAUAC